GGGCCUGUACAGGUUUCGACGGGGGUUUUGAAUUCGGAGAAGCAAGUCGUAAGGCAAUGCGUCAAAUUCCAAAUUAAAUAUAAACGCUGACGAUAAUAGUUUAGCAUUCGCUGCCUAAUUGCAGCUGUCGGCUCUGAUGCACCUGCACAUCAGAAUCCCGGCAUCGACUUUGCAGGAAACGACUUAUACAAAGCUUUGAGUAUAUGGGCGUAUUAUGAAGCUACUAAAGGUUUAAUUCUGUCUGUCGAAGUGAACCGGAGGGAAUGUCAAAUAACAGACUAAGCUUGUAGAAGGACGAUGGAUGGGCUUUCGGACAGGAGUUCGAUUCUCCUCAGGUCCACUA
rfam:Butyrivibrio crossotus CAG:259 genomic scaffold, scf57